UGGGGAUUGAAUCCAAAGGGUCAGCAUGAGGGGAUGUAGGGGGUGAUAGAAUGCUCUGUAUCUUGAUUGAGGUGAUUACACAACUGUAUGUAUUCGUCAAAACUCAGAACUAGAUACCAAGAAAUGAAUUUUAUGAUAUGUAAGUAGAGAGGCUAAAUCAGUAACAAAUAUGUCAUGAAAGGUGUGAAGAGAGGUUUUUAAACUCCUAGCCCUUGUGGCUGCUUUCACUAAAUUCCAUGCUCCCUUCUGUCCAUGGUAACCAGGAGGGCAGAAUGGAUUGUUCUAGAUUCCCAUCACCUGUUACUGCGAUUGGUGAACAGAUGACCGUAUCCCCUAGUUGCUUCCUGGAGGAGAUCAAGGUUGGUUUGGUUCUUUUUCCUUCAGAACUUCUUGUGAUGUGGAAGAAUGAGAAUGAUCCACGGAGGUGGCUGCACAUUCAGAUUCUGUGGUUCUUUGAGGAGCUGACUGGGCAGAGUUUACCAGGGCCUUGCAUUUUCUGAAACAGUAAAGUGGUGGCACACGAGAAGAGCUUACAGGACACGGAAGCAUCCUUUGGUUAAGCUGGAAAGGGACAGAGAGAUACCACAUCUGCUUUUCCGUGGAAGAGGGCUCGUGAACUUGCAUGAACUCCUUUUCAAUGUUCAAAGAAAAAGGAAGACAAAAGACAUUUCAUAUGGCCCUUCUCUAUACUUGGAACUUUCUCUCUUAUUGGAAAGAAGAAAUUAGGAAUUAGAAGAAAAGGAAUGGGGGAAAGGAACUAUCUCCCUUUGGUUCAUGACUACCAUCUACAUUAUCAUCCUUCACAAGCAUGCUCUCCACUCUGUCGUGCUUAAAUCCCAUAUUUUGGUGGUGUCCACCACAUUCUUAGCACCCUACACAACACUUGGCACAUCAAUAACUGUCUUCCUCAACAUUUCAUAGUGAAAAAUUUCAAAUGUAGAGAAAUUUGAAAGAACUUUCUGAGAAUACCAGUAUGCCCACCACCUAGACUCUAUCAUUAACACCUCACUAUGCUGCUUCAGCAUAUAUCCAUGCAGCCAUCCAUCAACCUCUCUUUUUAUGCAUUUCCAAGUUGCAAAUAUCAUUUCACUUCCUUCUAAAUACUUCACUCAUAUAAUUAACUCAAGUUGAGUAUUACAAUUUUUUUCUCUUUUGAACGUAUAAUGAAAUGCACCAACAGUAAGUGUACUAGUUAAUGAAUUUUGACAAAUGCAUACACUUGUGUAACCCAAACCCAUCUCAAGAUACAGAACGUUACCCUUCCCCCAGAAGAGGCGUCAAGCCCAUCCCAGUUCCCCAAGACACAUCACCCUUUUGAUAUUUUUUGACCAUAGAUUAGUUUUGCCUAUUCUAGAACUUCACAUAAGUGGAUUCAUACAGGAUGUAGACUUUUGUGUCUGGCUUCUGUCACUUAGCAUAUUUUUGAGAUAAUCCAUGUUGCUGUACGAAACAUAGUUCUCAACAAAUAUUGAUUUACUGAUUUUUAUCAGUGUUGAUUAA
rnacentral:lncRNA from 1 species